CCAAGGCUAAAUACUCCUGACUGACCGGUAGUGAACCAGUACCGUGAGGGAAAGGCGAAAAGAACCCCGGCGAGGGGAGUGAAAAAGUACCUGAAGCCGUGUACGUACAAGCAGUGGGAGCACCCUUUAGGGUGUGACUGCGUACCUUUUGUAUAAUGGGUCAGCGACUUAUAUUCUGUUGCAAGGUUAACCGAAUAGGGGGGCCGGGGGGAAACCGAGUCUUAAUUGAGCGUUAAGUUGCAGGGUAUAGACCCGAAACCCGGUGAUCUAGCCAUGGGCAGGUUGAAGGUUGGGUAACACUAACUGGAGGACCGAACCGACUAAUGUUGAAAAAUUAGCGGAUGACCUGUGGCUGGGGGUGAAAGGCCAAUCAAACCGGGAGAUAGCUGGUUCUCCCCGAAAGCUAUUUAGGUAGCGCCUCGUGAAUUCAUCUCCGGGGGUAGAGCACUGUUUCGGCUAGGGGGCCAUCCCGGCUUACCAACCCGAUGCAAACUGCGAAUACCGGAGAAUGUUAUCACGGGAGACACACGGCGGGUGCUAACGUCCGUCGUGAAGAGGGAAACAACCCAGACCGCCAGCUAAGGUCCCAAAGUCAUGGUUAAGUGGGAAACGAUGUGGGAAGGCCCAGACAGCCAGGAUGUUGGCUUAGAAGCAGCCAUCAUUUAAAGAAAGCGUAAUAGCUCACUGGUCGAGUCGGCCUGCGCGGAAGAUGUAACGGGGCUAAACCAUGCACCGAAGCUGCGGCAGCGACGCUGAUGCGUUGUUGGGUAGGGGAGCGUUCUGUAAGCCUGCGAAGGUGGCCUGUGAGGGUUGCUGGAGGUAUCAGAAGUGCGAAUGCUGACAUAAGUAACGAUAAAGCGGGUGAAAAGCCCGCUCGCCGGAAGACCAAGGGUUCCUGUCCAACGUUAAUCGGGGCAGGGUGAGUCGACCCCUAAGGCGAGGCCGAAAGGCGUAGUCGAUGGGAAACGGGUUAAUAUUCCCGUACUUGGUGUUACUGCGAAGGGGGGACGGAGAAGGCUAUGUUGGCCGGGCGACGGUUGUCCCGGUUUAAGCGUGUAGGUGUGUGUUCCAGGUAAAUCCGGUUCACUUUAACACUGAGGCGUGAUGACGAGGCACUACGGUGCUGAAGCAACAAAUGCCCUGCUUCCAGGAAAAGCCUCUAAGCAUCAGGUAACAUCAAAUCGUACCCCAAACCGACACAGGUGGUCAGGUAGAGAAUACCAAGGCGCUUGAGAGAACUCGGGUGAAGGAACUAGGCAAAAUGGUGCCGUAACUUCGGGAGAAGGCACGCUGACACGUAGGUGAAGUGAUUUACUCAUGGAGCUGAAGUCAGUCGAAGAUACCAGCUGGCUGCAACUGUUUAUUAAAAACACAGCACUGUGCAAACACGAAAGUGGACGUAUACGGUGUGACGCCUGCCCGGUGCCGGAAGGUUAAUUGAUGGGGUCAGCGCAAGCGAAGCUCCUGAUCGAAGCCCCGGUAAACGGCGGCCGUAACUAUAACGGUCCUAAGGUAGCGAAAUUCCUUGUCGGGUAAGUUCCGACCUGCACGAAUGGCGUAAUGAUGGCCAGGCUGUCUCCACCCGAGACUCAGUGAAAUUGAACUCGCUGUGAAGAUGCAGUGUACCCGCGGCAAGACGGAAAGACCCCGUGAACCUUUACUAUAGCUUGACACUGAACAUUGAGCCUUGAUGUGUAGGAUAGGUGGGAGGCUUUGAAGUGUGGACGCCAGUCUGCAUGGAGCCGGCCUUGAAAUACCACCCUUUAAUGUUUGAUGUUCUAACGUGGACCCGUGAUCCGGGUUGCGGACAGUGUCUGGUGGGUAGUUUGACUGGGGCGGUCUCCUCCUAAAGAGUAACGGAGGAGCACGAAGGUUGGCUAAUCCUGGUCGGACAUCAGGAGGUUAGUGCAAUGGCAUAAGCCAGCUUGACUGCGAGCGUGACGGCGCGAGCAGGUGCGAAAGCAGGUCAUAGUGAUCCGGUGGUUCUGAAUGGAAGGGCCAUCGCUCAACGGAUAAAAGGUACUCCGGGGAUAACAGGCUGAUACCGCCCAAGAGUUCAUAUCGACGGCGGUGUUUGGCACCUCGAUGUCGGCUCAUCACAUCCUGGGGCUGAAGUAGGUCCCAAGGGUAUGGCUGUUCGCCAUUUAAAGUGGUACGCGAGCUGGGUUUAGAACGUCGUGAGACAGUUCGGUCCCUAUCUGCCGUGGGCGCUGGAGAACUGAGGGGGGCUGCUCCUAGUACGAGAGGACCGGAGUGGACGCAUCACUGGUGUUCGGGUUGUCAUGCCAAUGGCACUGCCCGGUAGCUAAAUGCGGAAGAGAUAAGUGCUGAAAGCAUCUAAGCACGAAACUUGCCCCGAGAUGAGUUCUCCCUGAGACUUAGAGUCUCCUGAAGGAACGUUGAAGACGACGACGUUGAUAGGCCAGGUGCGUAAGCGC
rnacentral:rRNA from 1 species